rnacentral:rRNA from 1 species
UGGGGAAUAUUGCACAAUGGGCGAAAGCCUGAUGCAGCAACGCCGCGUGAGCGAUGAAGGCCUUUGGGUCGUAAAGCUCUGUCCUAAGGGAAGAAAAAAAUGACGGUACCUUAGGAGGAAGCCCCGGCUAACUACGUGCCAGCAGCCGCGGUAAUACGUAGGGGGCAAGCGUUAUCCGGAAUUAUUGGGCGUAAAGAGUGCGUAGGUGGUUAUUUAAGCGCAGGGUGAAAGGCUACAGCUUAACUGUGGUAAGCCUUGCGAACUGGAUGACUUGAGUGCAGGAGAGGAAAGCGGAAUUCCUAGUGUAGCGGUGAAAUGCGUAGAUAUUAGGAGGAACACCAGUGGCGAAGGCGGCUUUCUGGACUGUAACUGACACUGAGGCACGAAAGCGUGGGGAGCAAACAGG